rnacentral:rRNA from 1 species
AGUGAACGCUGGCGGUAGGCCUAACACAUGCAAGUCGAACGGCAGCACAGUAAGAGCUUGCUCUUACGGGUGGCGAGUGGCGGACGGGUGAGGAAUACAUCGGAAUCUACUUUUUCGUGGGGGAUAACGUAGGGAAACCUACGCUAAUACCGCAUACGACCUACGGGUGAAAGCAGGGGAUCUUCGGACCUUGCGCGAUUGAAUGAGCCGAUGUCGGAUUAGCUAGUUGGCGGGGUAAAGGCCCACCAAGGCGACGAUCCGUAGCUGGUCUGAGAGGAUGAUCAGCCACACUGGAACUGAGACACGGUCCAGACUCCUACGGGAGGCAGCAGUAGGGAAUAUUGGGCAAUGGGCGCAAGCCUGAUCCAGCCAUGCCGCGUGAGUGAAGAAGGCCUUCGGGUUGUAAAGCCCUUUUGUUGGGGAAGAAAAGCAGCAGGUUAAUACCCCGCUGUUCUGACGGUACCCAAAGAGUAAGCACCGGCUAACUUCGUG